rnacentral:rRNA from 1 species
CAGUAGCCGCGGUAAUGCGUAGGGUGCGAGCGUUAAUCGGAAUUACUGGGCGUAAAGCGUGCGCAGGCGGUUUUGUAAGACAGGCGUGAAAUCCCCGGGCUCAACCUGGGAAUGGCGCUUGUGACUGCAAAGCUAGAGUGCGGCAGAGGGGGAUGGAAUUCCGCGUGUAGCAGUGAAAUGCGUAGAUAUGCGGAGGAACACCGAUGGCGAAGGCAAUCCCCUGGGCCUGCACUGACGCUCAUGCACGAAAGCGUGGGGAGCAAACAGGAUUAGAUACCCGGGUAGUCCCUGUCUCUUAUAC